GAUGAAGAACGUAGCGAAAUGCGAUAAGUAAUGUGAAUUGCAGAAUUCAGUGAAUCAUCGAAUCUUUGAACGCACAUUGCGCCCCCUGGUAUUCCGGGGGGCAUGCCUGUUCGAGCGUCAUUUCACCACUCAAGCCUCGCUUGGUAUUGGGCAACGCGGUCCGCCGCGUGCCUCAAAUCGACCGGCUGGGUCUUCUGUCCCCUAAGCGUUGUGGAAACUAUUCGCUAAAGGGUGCUCGGGAGGCUACGCCGUAAAACAAACCCAUUUCUAAGGUUGACCUCGGAUCACGUAGGGAUACCCGCUGAACUUAAGCAUAUCAAUAAGCGGAGGA
rnacentral:misc_RNA from 1 species